ensembl:snoRNA SNORA70 Small nucleolar RNA SNORA70
CUGCAGCCAGUGAAGCCAGCUGUGCUCUUUCCCCAUGGGCCCUGGUGUGCCAUGGCUGCAAGCAGUAGCUUCCUUGGUAGUAUAUGAAGCCUGUUGCUUGUAGGGGUUGCCCUAAGGGACCUUGGAGACAGAC